UGGCGGUGUGGCCGAGUGGUCUAAGGCGCCAGAUUUAGGCUCUGGUCUCUAGGGGCGUGGGUUCGAACCCCACCACCGUCAG
rnacentral:tRNA from 2 species